rnacentral:rRNA from 1 species
GACGAACGCUGGCGGCGUGCUUAACACAUGCAGGUCGAACGGAAAGGCCCUGCUUGCCGGGUACUCGAGUGGCGAACGGGUGAGUAACACGUGGGUGAUCUGCCCUGCACUUCGGGAUAAGCUUGGGAAACUGGGUCUAAUACCGGAUAGGAGCCAUCUUUAGUGUGGUGGUUGGAAAGUUUUUUCGGUGUAGGAUGAGCUCGCGGCCUAUCAGCUUGUUGGUGGGGUAAUGGCCUACCAAGGCGGCGACGGGUAGCCGGCCUGAGAGGGUGUACGGCCACAUUGGGACUGAGAAACGGCCCAGACUCCUACGGGAGGCAGCAGUGGGGAAUAUUGCACAAUGGGCGCAAGCCUGAUGCAGCGACGCCGCGUGGGGGAUGAAGGCCUUCGGGUUGUAAACUCCUUUCGCUAGGGACGAAGCUUUUUUGUGACGGUACCUAGAUAAGAAGCACCGGCUAACUACGUG